AGGACGAACGCUGGCGGCGUGCUUAACACAUGCAAGUCGAGCGGUAAGGCCCUUUUGGGGGUACACGAGCGGCGAACGGGUGAGUAACACGUGAGUAAUCUGCCCUUCACUUUGGGAUAAGCCUCAGAAAUGGGGUCUAAUACCGGAUAUGAUGUCUGCGUGCAUGCGUGGGUGUGGUAAAGGUUUUUUCCGGUGGGGGAUGUGCUCGCGGCCUAUCAGCUUGAUGGUGGGGUAAUGGCCUACCAUGGCUUCGACGGGUAGCCGGCCUGAGAGGGUGACCGGCCACACUGGGACUGAGACACGGCCCAGACUCCUACGGGAGGCAGCAGUGGGGAAUUUUGGACAAUGGGGGCAACCCUGAUCCAGCCAUGCCGCGUGCGGGAAGAAGGCCUUCGGUGU
rnacentral:rRNA from 1 species